CCUCCCUCGCUCUCAGUCAACAUGAGCCACCACUUUUGUCAUGAGAGCCUGUGGUAUGUGUUUGCCUGGCACAAACUCAUGUUCAUGGGGAGUCAGGCUUAUUGUUUGCUACAGUCUGCCACAGGGCAAGUAAAAACUCCUGUCUCAAGCUGGCAGAAACCAAGUGAAGUCAAGAUCUCCUCAUAACGAAGUGCACACUGAGAAAGUCUUAGGCUGCUUAGGAAAUGCAGGAAUUCUUUUCUUUACCAAUGAAUGCACCACCAUGAAAAAUAAUGAAUGGACCACCAUGAAAAUUUUUGUGGAUUCUGAAAUGUUCAAGUGCUCCAGAGUUUUUAAUGAUGUCCUUUGAGUGUGCCUCUCCAUAGAUGAAAAAGGGGAGAAGUAACAUGAAAGAAAUCCUUCAGCAGUGAGAGCUGGAGGAUCAGCUCAGUGGUAGAGCAGGAGUGUUGCCUGGAGAAUGCCUGCAGAGCCCUGGAUGUGCACAGAAACAUUUGGAAACCUUUCCUUGCAUGCAUUUCCUUUCCUUACAUUUUUUACAUGCAUCUGUUCUUGUUCAGCUCUACCAGAUGAGGAACUAUCAUGUAAUGACAAGAGUUUGAAGACAUUUCCAGCUCUCUGUCACAAAGGUGCUGUGUGGCAUUAAAAGAAAU